AGUCGAACGAAGUAGCAAUACUUAGUGGCAGACGGGUGAGUAACAUGUAGGUAUCUGCCCUUUGGCCUGGAAUAACACGAGGAAACUUGUGCUAAUACCGGAUAAGUCUUUACGGAGAAAGCUUUAUGCACCAUUGGAUGAGCCUGCACUUGAUUAGUUUGUUGGUGGGGUAAUGGCCUACCAAGACUUUGAUCAAUAGCUGAUUUGAGAGGAUGAUCAGCCACAUUGGGACUGAGACACGGCCCAAACUCCUACGGGAGGCAGCAGUGGGGAAUCUUGCACAAUGGAGGAAACUCUGAUGCAGCGAUGCCGCGUGAGUGAAGAAGGCCUUUGGGUUGUAAAGCUCUUUCGUCGGGGAAGAAAAUGACUGUACCCGAAUAAGAAGGUCCGGCUAACUUCGUGCCAGCAGCCGCGGUAAUACGAAGGGACCUAGCGUAGUUCGGAAUUACUGGGCUUAAAGAGUUCGUAGGUGGUUGAAAAAGUUGGUGGUGAAAUCCCAGAGCUUAACUCUGGAACCGCCAUCAAAACUUUUCAGCUAGAGUAUGAUAGAGGAAAGCAGAAUUUCUAGUGUAGAGGUGAAAUUCGUAGAUAUUAGAAAGAAUACCAAUUGCGAAGGCAGCUUUCUGGAUCAUUACUGACACUGAGGAACGAAAGCAUGGGUAGCGAAGAGGAUUAGAUACCCUCGUAGUCCAUGCCGUAAACGAUGUGUGUUAGACGUUGGAAAUUUAUUUUCAGUGUCGCAGCGAAAGCGAUAAACACACCGCCUGGGGAGUACGACCGCAAGGUUAAAACUCAAAUGAAUUGA
rnacentral:rRNA from 1 species